rnacentral:rRNA from 1 species
GGGGGCUCUAUACAUGCAAGUCGAGCGGACAGAAGGGAGCUUGCUCCCGGAUGUUAGCGGCGGACGGGUGAGUAACACGUGGGUAACCUGCCUGUAAGACUGGGAUAACUCCGGGAAACCGGAGCUAAUACCGGAUAGUUCCUUGAACCGCAUGGUUCAAGGAUGAAAGACGGUUUCGGCUGUCACUUACAGAUGGACCCGCGGCGCAUUAGCUAGUUGGUGGGGUAAUGGCUCACCAAGGCGACGAUGCGUAGCCGACCUGAGAGGGUGAUCGGCCACACUGGGACUGAGACACGGCCCAGACUCCUACGGGAGGCAGCAGUAGGGAAUCUUCCGCAAUGGACGAAAGUCUGACGGAGCAACGCCGCGUGAGUGAUGAAGGUUUUCGGAUCGUAAAGCUCUGUUGUUAGGGAAGAACAAGUGCGAGAGUAACUGCUCGCACCUUGACGGUACCUAACCAGAAAGCCACGGCUAACUACGUGCCAGCAGCCGCGGUAAUACGUAGGUGGCAAGCGUUGUCCGGAAUUAUUGGGCGUAAAGGGCUCGCAGGCGGUUUCUUAAGUCUGAUGUGAAAGCCCCCGGCUCAACCGGGGAGGGUCAUUGGAAACUGGGAAACUUGAGUGCAGAAGAGGAGAGUGGAAUUCCACGUGUAGCGGUGAAAUGCGUAGAGAUGUGGAGGAACACCAGUGGCGAAGGCGACUCUCUGGUCUGUAACUGACGCUGAGGAGCGAAAGCUGACCC